rnacentral:rRNA from 1 species
UACGAAGGGGGCUAGCGUUGCUCGGAAUGACUGGGCGUAAAGGGCGCGUAGGCGGUCUGUUGCGUCCGCUGUGAAAACUCGGGGCUUAACCCCGAGCCUGCAGUGGAUACGGGCAGACUAGAGGUAGGUAGGGGAGAAUGGAAUUCCCGGUGUAGCGGUGAAAUGCGCAGAUAUCGGGAGGAACACCGGUGGCGAAGGCGGUUCUCUGGGCCUUACCUGACGCUGAGGAGCGAAAGCGUGGGGAGCGAACAGG